CCUACGGGUGGCAGCAGUGAGGAAUAUUGGUCAAUGGGCGGGAGCCUGAACCAGCCAAGCCGCGUGAGGGAAGAAGGUACAGCGUAUUGUAAACUUCUUUUGUCAGGGAACAAAGGCGGGGACUAGUCCCUGGAUGCGGGUACCUGAAGAAAAAGCAUCGGCUAACUCCGUGCCAGCAGCCGCGGUAAUACGGAGGAUGCGAGCGUUAUCCGGAUUUAUUGGGUUUAAAGGGUGCGCAGGCGGCCUGUUAAGUCAGCGGUAAAAGCCCGGGGCUCAACCCCGGCGAGCCGUUGAAACUGGCAGGCUGGAGUUGGGGAGAAGUACGCGGAAUGCGCGGUGUAGCGGUGAAAUGCUUAGAUAUCGCGCAGAACCCCGAUUGCGAAGGCAGCGUACCGGCUCCACACUGACGCUGAGGCACGAAAGCGUGGGUAUCGAACAGGAUUAGAUACCCUUGUAGUC
rnacentral:rRNA from 1 species